UACAGAGGGGGCAAGCGUUGUUCGGAAUUACUGGGCGUAAAGGGCGCGUAGGCGGCCUUCUAAGUCGGACGUGAAAUCCCUCGGCUCAACCGAGGAACUGCGUCCGAUACUGGAGGGCUUGAAUCCGGGAGAGGGAUGUGGAAUUCCAGGUGUAGCGGUGAAAUGCGUAGAUAUCUGGAGGAACACCGGUGGCGAAGGCGGCAUCCUGGACCGGCAUUGACGCUGAGGCGCGAAAGCCAGGGGAGCAAAGCGGG
rnacentral:rRNA from 1 species